rnacentral:rRNA from 1 species
UACGUAGGUGGCAAGCGUUGUCCGGAUUUAUUGGGUUUAAAGGGUGCGUAGGCGGUCUUUUAAGUCAGUGCUGAAAUACUCCAGCUUAACUGGAGGGGUGGCAUUGAUAACUGGAAGACUUGAGUGCAGUCGAAGUAGGCGGAAUUGACGGUGUAGCGGUGAAAUGCUUAGAUAUCGUCAAGAACACCGAUAGUGAAGACAGCUUACUAGGCUGCAACUGACGCUGGAGGCACGAAAGUGUGGGGAUCAAACAGG